GGCUGCAGUGGCUGCAGAGCUUCCCCACAGCUCACAUCUCACACCUGCAACAGGCCCGCUGGUUUCACACAGGAGGCCCAUGGUGUUGUCUACAGGAAGAGACACGAUUCCCCCUCACAAAUAUGGAUUUGUACUCCGCUCCAGGACCUAACCAUGCAUGUGCACCUGCUGUCCGGAGGCCGAGAUGCGUUGCCAAGAGCGCUUGGAUCUGCGUGAGCUCAAACUUCGUCUGCAUGGGAGGAUGCAGUGACUAUGAGGAAUACUUUUUUUUUUUUAACAGUCAGAACAGACUCUGUGUCUCACUCUGAGGGAAACAGUUGGUUUUAUUUUGCUCGUCUUUUGGCUGUUUGGCGUGCGUAAUGAUUAACUCUAAUGGUCCCCCACGACUAUUCCUGGAAAUGCUGCAGAACAAAACGGGAGGUAGCCGAGUUGGAAGGCCCGUGACAGGGAGGGUGAGGGAUGGAGAUGGAGAUGGAGAGACGGUGCUUUCGGAAGUGCUGCUUUGAUGAGCUUUGACGCAGGAGGGAAGGAAAGAGACGCACAGAGCUCGUGCAGCCGUGGCUCCAGCGCCCAAAACUUUUACCCGCAGAGGCCAGCCACUGAGGAAGGCUAACAUCCCCAUCAGGGAUAAUUGACCGAGGAGUCUUUCAGGAAAACAGCAAGAGGACGAUCGGGAUGCUCCUGCCCCACCUCCGUCCCUGCACAUCAUAAUCUCCGGACCUGUUGUCAUUCACCGUGGAUCAGAAGACGUCGCUUAUAUCAAACAUCUCUACUCUCCACUCUUCUGUGUCCCUCUUUUUAUUCUUCCUUUCUCCUCCUCUACCCACCCUCCCUCGCUGGGUGACCUCCCUGCCUCCUGGCUCUCUCACCCCUCUCCUCUGGCCCUGGCCCUGGCCCUGCCCACCCUGGGUCAUUUAUCAUGGGCCAGGAGGGGAGCCCCUGGGCCUGCAGGCCCCUGUCAGCCCCUGCAAUCGCCUCUUUGUGGCUCCUAGCAAACAAGUGUCGGAUCAGCAAAAGUCUAUUAAAGCCUGGUGGGCCUUUCUCAGCCAAUUGGGCUCGGGUCACUGAGCUGCUCUCCUUGCUGCUCCGAGAGCUCUUUGUGUCGCCGCCGUUCGCUGACACAGAUCCCCACAAGAUUAAUGAUUUUUAGCAGCCAUUUGGGUCUCAUUCGCGGGGUCCUUCUCUCUUUCUCUCUCUUUGCUCCUUUUCCUCUUUUAUCCACUCAUUCUGUCCUCUUUUUUUCCUUUAACCUAUUUCUUCUACUACCAGAUUUCUCGCUUUUCGCUCACUGGUUUACUCCUCUGCUCCUCCCUUUUACUGUUACUCCAAUCAGUGUUGACUAGUGGUACUUCACUUUGUGAGGUCAUCAGUCCACACAAGUGUAAUUGCUACUAAUGCUCGCCCUGUUUUUAUAUAGUAAUUGUCUCUGUGUGAAAGGAUAUAAAUAAUAGUUGCUCAAUAUGUUACUUGAGUUGUUUGUUUCAGAGUGAUGGGCUCCUGCCUGAUAAAUCCAGAGGAUGUUAAAAAGCUCGAGUAUCCACAUUACAAUCCUGGCAGGCUUCCCCGCAUUGUGCCUCCAGAGGCUCAGAGUAAUUUGAAAUCUUGGAGCCUCUUCCACGACUUCCAUGUUGCCAUGUUCUCAGUGUUGUUUCCAGUAAUUACUGCAGGUUAAGUGCACGUCCCGGAGCCCAGUGGAGGCAGCUCUAUCCCUCACCUGGGACAUGACUCAGCACAGCUCAGGUCAUCCGGCCAUUUCCCUGACCACUGGACCACACCCCGACCUACUCUAAACCCACAGGACAAGCACUGUUUACGAAGGACUCGUGUUCACUUACAUCACGUAAUGUAAUGGCUGUUUUACUUACAGGCUGAUUUUUUUUCAGAAGCAGCCUCACACUGGCACGUUUGUCCAUUUGGAGUCUGUAAACACAUGCAUUUAAACUACAAGGUUCCACUCAUUUUAGUACAGAAUUACCAGCUCAGUCACCAGAAUAAAACACUGGCAUUGCACAUUUCUGCCAACCAUCGAUAAGUUUCAUUUGUACAUUUCAUAUGUAUGAUGUAAUUAUCAGGAGGAAGGAGGGAAGGUGGAUGGCAUGACACCUAGGCAAGACGGCUGCCAAUCAGCAAGCCUCUGUUCAAGACCAACACAAUCUUACUCCAACCUCGUCACAUAUUGACAGGUGGUCACGGACUUUCCACGUCCACAUGCGACAUGUAAGGUACCCUGGGUGUGUUGGUUGUUGACGUUCUGGGACACCGUGUCAAGUUCUCUUCUUUCAAGAUACACUUUAGUUUUCACAGAAAAUUUAACAUUUACAUACAGUCUCUUUCAAAAUGAAGGCACAGUGAAUUGAUGUUUUUUCCUUCAACAAACACGUGGUUAUGUUUAGGCAAAAAGAACAGCGUUUGGCUUUAGAAUUUUACGGGAUGCAAACACCGCUCUGUAAAAGUCGAGGUUUGUUGGACCCAUCCAUCACCCCUCUCGCUCACCCCAUUUGGACUUUCACCACCUUAACUUUGUCCUUGUCCCACUGCGUUUCCCCCUGAUGCCACUGAGCACAGGUAAACUAUAUCUAAUGUGUAUCCAACCAGCCUUUUUUUUGUUGGUUUCUGAUGCCGCAAGCCACUGCCCCAAUUGCCUGAUUUCGGAGUGAGACCAGACUCUUGAGACUAACAAAAGCAGUCGUGUUUAAUGACAGUUUGGAACAUCUCCAGCUGUGUUUGUAGCGACAUAAUCGGGUAGUUUAAGCCAAAACACAAUGUUUUCCGAACCCUACACAGGUUGAUUUUGUGCCUAAAUCCAACUACAUGUUAACCACAGCAUUGUCGCAACAUACAAUUGACAUUGGAGGCGUAAAGUUGCCGCAACAUAUGAAAUGUACAAUGUAACGUAUGUGUGAUUUGCAGACGUACAAUGCCAACAUUUUUUCUGGUGAUUGGGUUGAAAUUACCUCUUUGUGUGAGUGGCAGAAAUGCUCUGGGGAAACAAAAAUGAAGUAUUUUUUGUACUGAAAAGAGUGUGUCUUUGAAAAAACAUAUCCACUAAUUUGUGGGCUGUGGAGUUGCUCCUCCAUCACUUUUAUCGGCAGGCUGAAAUAGAAGGGGAUCUCUUCACAGGUGGAGUUAUUAGAACGACUGUUUCACUGUUUACAUCAAGAUCAACAUCAACAAGAUAUUUGCUGGAGUCAUUUAAAGGAAUACUGUAUCAAUUACUCACCUCUUUCUAUGUAGAAUUAAUGAAGAAUACUGAAUGGUGAACGAAGAAUCCAAAAACUUGAGAAAAUUCCCAAUGGAGUAAAAGGGGGCCACAUUUAACUUCAUUCCAACUUGCACAGUAUAAUCCAAGUCUCAUUUAUGCAGUCGUGUCCUCAAGUUUUUAGAGUUUGUAAACAGUUGUUUUGAUUUUGUUUUGCUGUUGUUGAACGUGGACGCCUUUACUUCUUUUCAUCAAGAAUUUCACUGUUUCUGGUUUCUUUGUUCACCGUGGGGGCAAGCGAGAUGUUGUUUUCACGAAUUCAAGGUCGCACAGGAUGAGUUAUUGAUAUGCAAAUUAUCAUUUCGUGGGUGAAGUAUUCCUUUAAGCUCUUCCUUUUAACAUAAUGGAAAUGUAGACUAUUAGGGUCUAGGCCUGAAAGCCCCUCAACCUUUGAUCUGUGUUAAAACUCAAAUAUGUACUCUAGAUAUUUCACAGUCUGCUCUGUCAUUAAUGUUGCAUGCUUACAGGAUCUGUUUCAUCUCUGUAAUAUUCCUCUGUGUUGAAGCGUGUGGGGCAGCAGUGAAAGAAACUGUGUGUGUGUGCACGUACUGUCUGUGUGUGUGUAUGUGAAAACACAGUGUUCUCCUGCGUUGUGUUAGUGAAGCUGUCAGCGAGGCUGCUGGUCGGUCAGCGUCUUCUUUCACCUAAAACUGCAGCCUGUGUGUUUACGGCCUGUUUAAGGACUGAAUGGAUGAACCCAGCCUGCUGCCAUGUCCAUCCACCUGCCCUGUUUCCUGUCUGAUUAAUCUUUUGUGUGUGCGUGUGUGUGUGCGCGUAUGUUUGUGAGUGUGUUUGUUUGUAUGUGCGCCUGUGUGUAAAUGGUUAUAGAUGGGGCGACACCACAACACUGGCAGUCUGAAUCAUUACUCAGAAAGAUAGGGAGAGACCCGGGGCCGAGGAACCCCUAACAUCCUCCUCCUUUCUACACAGGCACACACACACACACACACACACACACACACACAUAUACACGCACACACCCCCACACACAUACAUAUCCCCAGGUUAUUCAUUUCUAAGCAGAGUGCCUGGCAUUUCACCACAUCCACCCCCCUUUAUUAAGAGACUGGAGCUCCGGGUUUCCUUCUCGGAGAGGGGGAGUGAGGGAUGGUUUUCGAUUGGGCCUUAUACUCUUUGUUUGCACCCUUCCUCUUUGCCUGUUCUCUCGUCAUUUCUCCUAAUCUUUCAUUUCCAUCUCUUUCUCCCUCUCCCUCUGUCUCGUUCUCUCUUUU